rnacentral:pre_miRNA from 1 species
AGUUUUCUGUAUCCGUGCUGAGAUUUCGUCACAUGCCUGAUUACAAAGGUUGAUGAGACUUCCAAGAUAAGUGGGCCC